AUACGUAGGUGACAAGCGUUAUCCGGAUUUACUGGGCGUAAAGGGCGUGUAGGCGGUCUUGCAAGUCAGAAGUGAAAUUCCUGAGCUCAACUCGGGCGCUGCUUCUGAAACUGCAGGACUUGAGUGCUGGAGGGGAUAGCGGAAUUCCUAGUGGAGCGGUAAAAUGCGCAGAUAUUAGGAAGAACACCGGUGGCGAAGGCGGCUAUCUUGACAGUAACUGACGCUGAGGCGCGAAAGCGUGGGGAGCAAAAAGGAUUAGAUUCCCUGGUAGUCCACGCCGUAAACGAUGAAUACUAGGUGUAGGGGGUAUCGACUCCCUCUGUGCCGCAGUUAACACAAUAAGUAUUCCGCCUGGGGAGUACGGCCGCAAGGUUGAAACUCAAAUGAAUUGACGGGG
rnacentral:rRNA from 1 species